ACGGCUCAGUAACACGUGGACAACCUACCCUCAGGUCGGGGAUAAACCCGGGAAACUGGGUAUAAUACCCGAUAGAUCUCGGCUGCUGGAAUGCAUCGAGUUCCAAAGCUCCGGCGCCUGAGGAUGGGUCUGCGGCCUAUCAGGUAGUAGUGGGUGUAAUGUACCUACUAGCCUACAACGGGUACGGGUUGUGAGAGCAAGAGCCCGGAGAUGGAUUCUGAGACAUGAAUCCAGGCCCUACGGGGCGCAGCAGGCGCGAAAACUUUACAAUGCGGGAAACCGUGAUAAGGGGACACCGAGUGCCAGCAUCAUAUGCUGGCUGUCCAGGUGUGUAAAAUACACCUGUUAGCAAGGGCCGGGCAAGACCGGUGCCAGCCGCCGCGGUAACACCGGCGGCCCGAGUGGUGAUCGUGAUUAUUGGGUCUAAAGGGUCCGUAGCCGGUUUGGUCAGUCCUCCGGGAAAUCUGACGGCUCAACCGUUAGGCUUUCGGGGGAUACUGCCAGGCUUGGAACCGGGAGAGGUAAGAGGUACUACAGGGGUAGGAGUGAAAUCUUGUAAUCCCUGUGGGACCACCUGUGGCGAAGGCGUCUUACCAGAACGGGUUCGACGGUGAGGGACGAAAGCUGGGGGCACGAACCGGAUUAGAUACCCGGGUAGUCCCAGCCGUAAACGAUGCUCGCUAGGUGUCAGGCAUGGCGCGACCGUGUCUGGUGCCGCAGGGAAGCCGUGAAGCGAGCCACCUGGGAAGUACGGCCGCAAGGCUGAAACUUAAAGGAAUUGGCGGGGGAG
rnacentral:rRNA from 1 species